GGAAAAAAAAAUCUAAUGGAAAACGAGGGGGGAAAAAGCGAGAUAGAAAAGUCUUCCGAAGUUACAUUUAAGUACGUAAACCGGGCAAAGGGUCUCUACGCAUAACAAUGGGUUAUCCUACACACAAAUGCGGUGAAAAGUUAUCUAUUAGAAUAAGCAUAACGUUUGGGUUCUGAAAACUUUUAAUGACAUCUUACCUGCGCAGCAUCAGACUUUUGUAAACAUAUUUCAAUUUCUGAAUGUA